rnacentral:tRNA from 1 species
GGACCGCUAGCUCAAUUGGCAGAGCAACUGACUCUUAAUCAGUGGGUUCCGUGUUCGAGUCACGGGCGGUUCA